AACGAACGCUGGCGGCGUGCCUAACACAUGCAAGUCGAGCGCGAAAAGGGCAACCUGAGUAGAGCGGCGCACGGGUGAGUAACACGUGGGUAAUCUGCCUCAAAGCCUGGAAUAACCUUCCGAAAGGUUGGCUAAUGCCGGAUAAGCUCACGAGACCUCGGGUCUUGUGGGAAAAGGUGGCCUCUGUUUACAAGCUAUCACUUUGAGAUGAGCCCG
rnacentral:rRNA from 1 species